AAUGUCAGAACAGUGCGCGAGA
rnacentral:miRNA from 1 species